CAUCUUUCUUAUUAUUAUUUUUAUUUCUUUUCCAUUUCUUCCCCAUUUUCCAAGCUCUCAUCCCAAUCCUUCCCACACUCCAUUUUUCCCUCCCCACGAGGCCCCCACGCCGAUCCCUCCCCUGCAUCCUGGUGCCUUUUCCGGGAUAUUUUUCCUUGUGCUUCAUUCCCGGUUUUUUGGAUGCUGAAGAAUCCACAAGGGAAGGGUGGAGCCUCCGAAUGAUCCAAAUCCCGCAAUUCCAGCUGGGAUGGAGCUGAAGAACAAUCCUGGAGGGACCUUCUGGAGUUCCCAGCUCUCCCGCACCAGGAACGCUGGGAUGAUCUGGAGAUGGGAACAGCUUUUCCCACAUUUUCCUCUCUGCUGCUCACCCAGAGCUGUUCCAGAGCCAUCCCACUGCUCUUCCCGCUGGAAUCCGGUUUGUAUCCAUGACCCACGCGUGGAUUCUCCGUUUCCAUGGCGAUGGAAGCCUGGGAAUUGUUGUGGUCCCGGUGCCUUCUGCAGCUGCUCUCCUGCAGUUCUCCCUUAUCCACACCAAAAAUCCGGGAUCCAGUUCCCAGGGAUCAUCCGUGGGAUCCAUGCAGGAAACCAUGGGAUGUAUCCAUGAAACAUCAUGAGGAACUUCUGGGCUGUGCCAGCACAGAGAAUAAUUCCCCAAUCCUGGUGGCAGGAAAAGGAGGAAAAAGGAAAUCCAAGGUGUUUUCCAAUGUCUGUGGAGCCAGAAUGAUCCCAUUGCCCCGGAGCAGCCGGGAGCUGGAAAAUCCAGAGGGAUUGUGCAAAUCCCUGCAUAGCCAGUAAAGGAGGCCAGGAGGCUUCAAAGCUGGAAUAUUAUUUGGGAGGGAAUUUUAUUUUUAAAAGUAUGUUUUUCCCAAUUAUUCCCCUUUUGUCCUUAGCAAUGGAAUGUCCCAGUUCUGCUUUGGUUCCCACAUCCAUGGGAGGGCCUGGUGGGAGCUCUGCACCACCCAGGAGAGCUCUGGAGUCAGGAGAUGGCAAAACGGGAAUAUUAUCAACCCCUUCCACCUGGAAACGCUGCCGGGAGCUGGAGUCGUUCCCGGCAUCCAAAAUCCUGGAAUACAACUUCUGCUGGAAUAAAAUCCCAAUUAUCCUCUUAUCCUGCCGUGAU
rnacentral:lncRNA from 1 species